rnacentral:rRNA from 1 species
GACGAACGCUGGCGGCGUGCUUAACACAUGCAAGUCGAACGGAAAGGCCUCUUUUGGGGGGUACUCGAGUGGCGAACGGGUGAGUAACACGUGAGUAACCUGCCCUUGACUUUGGGAUAACUUCAGGAAACUGGGGCUAAUACCGGAUAGGAGUUCCUGCUGCAUGGUGGGGGUUGGAAAGUUUCGGCGGUUGGGGAUGGACUCGCGGCUUAUCAGCUUGUUGGUGGGGUAGUGGCUUACCAAGGCUUUGCCGGGUAGCCGGCCUGAGAGGGUGACCGGCCACACUGGGACUGAGAGACGGCCCAGACUCCUACGGGAGGCAGAAGUGGGGAAUAUUGCACAAUGGGUGGAAGCCUGAUGCAGCAGCGCCGUGGGCGGGAUGACGGCCUUCGGGUUGUAAACCGCUUUCGCUCAUGACGAAGCUUUGUGUGACGGUAGUGGGUAAAGAAGCACCGGCUAACUACGUG